rnacentral:snRNA from 1 species
UCGCUCAUUUUGGCAGCACAUAUACUAAAUCUGGAAGACUACAGAGAAGACUAGCAUGGUCCCUGUGCUAGGAUUUGUGAAGCGUUUGUAAUUUUU